GGCAAAGAUUGGUUCUGAUAUGAUGGCACUUCACUUUUCAUCAAGUCCUAUGUGGCAUGUAAGAGAUCCAGAGGUUCUUGAGAAGAAUAUAGCUGAGAUAUGGGAAAGAGAGCUGACCCUCAUAGGAUGGUCUUGUAAGAGGAGGACAUGACAAAUUGGUACAACUCCAACACACAAAUGUAGGGACAAAUGAGUGGAAAGAAAAGAAUCUAAGCAAAGGCACUUAAGAUUUCUUUUAGGUGGGAUUAAAAUUUAAAUCAGAAAAUUGAGUUACUUGGUUGGCUCCAUCUAAUUGGUUAAAGGCCUUAAGAGAAAAGAGACUGACCUCUUCUGAGGAAGAAGUAAUUCUACCAACAGACUGCCUUUGGAUUUGAAUUGCAAAAUCACCUUUUCCUGGGUUACCAACCUGUCCUGCAGAUUUUGGACUUUUCAGCAUCUAGAAUCAGAUACGGUUAUUGAGUCUUGAUCACCAUGAUGACACUGCUUUAUGUGGUACGUCUUCCUUAUGAAGUCUGAAGGCUGCUUUUCUGGAACAGAUUGCACUGCUAGCCAUUACUAUCUUUCUCUCAGUGGCAAAACUACUAUCCAUUAUACCAGGCCAAUGGAUAUAGGAGAACAAGGGAGUCCAUGCCUUAUGGAGAGACGGGGCUUGUAGGUAUAACACACAAGACAUCUAUGGAAACUUCUACUGGUUUUGAAGCAGCACUCUGAAUUCUGAAUUUUCAGUUUCCUGAGGAUUAAUGAUCUUGAACAUCUAUCUCCCUGUGCUUAUAGGCCAUUUCUGCAUCCUUUCAUAUGAAAUGACUAAGUCAUUUGUCCAUAUAUUUAGAGAUGGGGAGGUAACU